UACGUAGGGUGCAAGCGUUAAUCGGAAUUACUGGGCGUAAAGCGUGCGCAGGCGGUUUUGUAAGUCUGUCGGGAAAUCCCCGGGCUCAACCUGGGAAUUGCGAUGGAGACUGCAAGGCUAGAAUCUGGCAGAGGGGGGUAGAAUUCCACGUGUAGCAGUGAAAUGCGUAGAGAUGUGGAGGAACACCGAUGGCGAAGGCAGCCCCCUGGGUCAAGAUUGACGCUCAUGCACGAAAGCGUGGGGAGCAAACAGG
rnacentral:rRNA from 1 species